rnacentral:Y_RNA from 1 species
GGCGGGUCUGAGCACAGUGGUGUUUACCAUUGUGGUCCAUUGACCACAGCCAUCUACAGAUUUCUUUGUUCUUUCUCUUCUCCCACUGCUACCCUCUACUAGUCUAAA